GGGCCCGCACAAGCGGUGGAGUAUGUGGUUUAAUUCGAUGCAACGCGAAGAACCUUACCAGGGUUUGACAUCCUGCGAAUCUCUUGGAAACGAGAGAGUGCCUUCGGGAACGCAGUGACAGGUGGUGCAUGGCUGUCGUCAGCUCGUGUCGUGAGAUGUUGGGUUAAGUCCCGCAACGAGCGCAACCCACGUCGUUAGUUGCCAGCAUUUAGUUGGGCACUCUAGCGAGACCGCCGGUGAUAAACCGGAGGAAGGUGUGGAUGACGUCAAGUCAUCAUGCCCCUUACAUCCUGGGCUACACACGUACUACAAUGCUACGGACAAAGGCAGCAAACUCGCGAGAGCUAGCAAAUCCCAUAAACCGUGGCUCAGUUCAGAUCGUAGGCUGCAACUCGACUUCAUGAAGCUGGAGUUGCUAGUAAUCCCGGAU
rnacentral:rRNA from 1 species